rnacentral:lncRNA from 12 species
CCACUCCCUCAAGGAUUUAUAACUAAGACUGAUUUAAGAAUCUGAGAUAGAGACAAGUUGUGAUUCUGUUUCUGCCUCCUGGGGACUCAGCAAGCAGGCAAGCCUGAGCUCCUUCUUUAGACCUGAGGAAUUUACUCUGAAGCUCUGAUCCACAUCCUUGGAAGGACGUGUCCAAACAGUCAUCUGAAACC